GGUCUUGGGUUCCAUAAUGUGGGAGGGAGAAAGAACAGAAAGACACAUCUUUCCUCCUCAAACUUACAUGAUGUAUCUUCUGUUAAACUUUCCCUGAUUAUUCCUAUAGGGAAUGAACUUUCCUUCUCUUGGACUUCACAAAGACUUGACUUAUGACCCUUGAUGCUCUUAUCAAGUUAUAUUAUAACUAUUAUUUUUCAGAACUGGAAGGGACCUUGGAGAAAAUUUCAUCCUACUUUUUAUUUUUUAGAUGAGAAAACAGAAUGUUAGGAUGCUGAUUAAACUUGUACAAGGCUCACAUGGCUAUUUUGAUAGAAAUCUGAUGCUAGAAUUCAGGCCUUCUGACUCAAAAAUCCAAACUCCCUUCCACUAUAACUAUACCCUUACUAAAUGAUGGAUCCAUGAGGGUGGGGCCAUCACGUUUUGUUUCAACCUUAUGUCUCCUCCUAGAACUGAACAAUGAAAUACUGAAGAUAAAUGUUUACUGGAGUUGAAAUGGAAACUGGAGAUAUAUCAGCAUUUUGCCGUGCAAAAAGAACACUGGAUUUGAAGCUGGACAAUGAGGUGGGACUUCUCUGUGGCUGGGAUACUGCCCUUCUUUAUUCCCUGGCUUCCUUCAAGAAUCAACUUAAAUCCCACCUUUGGUAAGUAGCCUUUCCCUCAUCCCACCUUCCCCACCACAACCACUGCUAACCGCUAGUGCUUUCCCUCUGAGAUGACCUGUUUGCUCCAUAAGAUACUUUGCUUGUACAUGUUGCCUUUCUAUUAGAAUGCGAGUUCCAGGGACUGUAUUUUUAAAAAACAACAACAAAAAACAACCUUUCUUUUAUUCCUUGCACUUAGUUACUGCCUGGCACAUAUAAGUACUUAAUAAAUGCAUAUUGACUGAUUACUGAUACUUUUUA
rnacentral:lncRNA from 1 species